UCAUUCUUGAAGAAACUUUACAACAAUAACUAUUUUAAUCUACAAUAAUUAUAUUAGAACUGAUUCAAAGUAUCUAAAUUGUUCAGUUUUAUUCGUUCUCCAACACGUCCGGUUUGUUAAUUUACUGGCAGAAAAAUACCAACACGACCUAAUAACAAGCGCUAUGUUCCACGUUUUGACCAGAUGACGAAUACCGUUUACUGCUUUAUAUGAAGGAACGCCACAUCCUUAGUCUCGUGAUCACUAAGUAGGGCCAAACAAGUCCACAACAUCGUAACUAACACCACGUAUAUAGUCUAGAAUAAUUAAUACUUUCCUUUUACACGCGAUUCAACUGGUUCUUUGCAUUUUCUCAAUUUUGUUUUUCAGUACGAAUGUUCCUUCAAAUCGUUGCACAUUUUUACCAUAAAUCCGAAUUUAGUGUCUAGUAGUUGGACACCGACCAUUUGUUAAUUUCAUUACUACCAUUCGCAAACUCCGUAUUGUUUUUAAUUCUUCCAUAAGAAUCAGUUCACCUUAAUAAAUAUAUUGUGCUUUCCUUGUGUUGAACAAAUCAGCACGAUUGUCAGCGUAUACCAAUAUACCAUAGCUUGUUGAAAUAACAAUAACCAUUCCUCAUACAUGUGGCACAUUGUGAUCUGGAAUCAUAAAUCCACAUGCAUAUAUUUUCAACAAAUAUAUCACACAUUAUGCUGGACACUUAUAAAUAUGUAUUCACACAUUACAAGUGGUACAUCCGAGCGUGGGAUACAAGGACAGUUUGUAAAACGCGUAUAUUUUCAACAAUGAGAACACCGUACAAUUUUUGUCCACGUGAACGACUCACGGUCUUUCGAGAUGCUGAUGACAUUACUUUCAGUUAAUAAGUUAUACUGUAUAUUUGUCUUUCACAAAUUAUCGACUUUUCCAAAUAAACCAACUGACACUAGCUUGUCAGAAGUUGCUUGGGCAUUAUUCCCGUCUAUCAGUCACUUUGUACAUGAUCAGGAGUUUGAAGUCCAUCAGUUUUUUAGUCAUUCAACCGCUGUAUAAUGGCACGAUAGAGGGACUGUUCGUAAAGGCGUAGAUUUUCAACAAUAUAAACACUACACGAUCUAAAGGAAUCACGAUCUUUUGACGUGUUCACCAAUUUUCUUUGACUUUACAGCACGAGGAAUUCAAGUAAACAUGUUUAUUGAUGGUAGUCCACACAAAACACAUUCGAUAUAUAUUCCAACGUAAACGAAGUGCAACACGCUUGUGGAAGACACCAUUAUAUU
rnacentral:lncRNA from 1 species